UUCAAACUAAGAUCCAUCUUCGAAACAUUACGUUAAAAAUCAAAUUUUUUAUUUCCCUAAUCUUCCCACUUCCUCUUACGUUUCUCUUUCCCCGCGAUCUCCAAACCUCACCUCUCUCGAGUAAACGAAAAACCCAGUCACAACUAUAACCCACCUUUACUUCCGGAACGAACACAGAAGAAUCCCCGAUCUUCUUCUUCUCAUAUACGGAUGUUUUUGGUAACAAAAUCGACUUCAUCUGAAAUCGCUCAUCUCUCGUGUAACAAAAUCACUCUUCUCUCUGUGUAAGCUAUCGACUUCAUCUGAAAUCGGUCAAGGGUUUGUAAACUAGGGUUUGCUCAAGUCACUGUGUUUUCGUUACUCUUUCUCUAGCAGAUGAAGAUUGAUGAACAAGAUGAAGGAUGCUGGAACUCCUAAAAGAGAACAUGCAGUCAUGGAGAAGAUUAAAGAAGCACACAGGAGAGUGAUGGUGGCUAACCAUCCUGACCAGGGUGGGAGCAUUUAUCUUGCUAAAAAGAUCAACGAGGCUAAGGUACUUUUGAUGGAUAAGGGUCGAUUUCAAUUCUUUCCAUGUGAAGGUUGAACUGAUUGUUGGGCUAGAAGUCAUAGAACAAGUCAAGCUGGUGUUUUAUAAAAUAAAACAAGAAGAAUAAUCAACCAAGAGGGAUGCUGGUGAUGUUGGUGGGCGUACUCAAGUACAAGAUCCAGAUCCCGUUCCCAGAUCUAGUAAUGGCUUGUCUGAAGAAAUAAUUUCUCAUAAGAUUCUGAAACAGGAAGUUAUAUCCAGAAAGGUAUUGGUUGAUGAGGGUUCAAGGCAGGUUGUCGAGGUGGAGCAAGCAGCCAUGUGGAAGUUUCUUUGGUGGUCGGGAAUCAUAGCUGUCCAUGUUAUGGUUGGCCAAAACAUAGAUGAUCACUCGGUAAGUGAAAGCUACUGCUGUCAUAUGCAUAAAAAUUUUGUUUGAAGACGUAUACGAGAAGCAUCUUGAUUGCUGUUAUGUUUGAAGUUUCAUUUUGCUAGGCUAUUCUAAGUAAAUGUAUUUGUAGUAAUUUAGUUUUGCGUCAAUUUUUUCGGUCGGCCAUCCCACCGUAGAUCGGGAUAUAAGAAAUCAGUCACAAGAACCGCCACCACCUCAGCAGACAAUUGGUGCUGCUGCUGUUGGGGCUGGUUAUGGUAUUACCAUUAACCGUAUCUUCUGCUCCUCUUGUUCUUACAAGUUUUGAUUAUUCUUUUGUCCAUUUAAAAUUUUUAUUCGAUCUUUGUUUUUAUUUUGGCUUGUGAUUCGAUUGAGUUAGGUUGGAACUUUUAUCUGGUGAUUGCUGAUGACUUUGGUGUUUUAGAAGUAAUUGAAAUUCAGGUCUACUUGUGAAUAUUAGGUUUGUUGUUGUCUUGAUUUGUUUUCUGGUACUAAAUUUAUAUAUUGCAGGUGAGAGUUGCAGUGGUAUCGGUACCUCAUUUACGUCAUGACUGCUAAGUGUUGCCGGAUUGCCUGCUAAUAUAAAAGAAAAUAGGUUUGUUGUUGUCUUGAUUAGUUUUCUGGACUGCUCUUUUGUACUUAAAUCUACUAAAUUUGUAUUUUGCAGGUGAGAGUUGCAGUGGUAUUGGUACCUAUUUACGUCAUGACUGAUAAGUGUUAGCGGAUUGCCUGCUAAUAUAAAAGAAAUUAAGGACUCAUGCUGGUUGUUGCAACAAUUUGGCAAGAUAUAUGCUGGACCAUUUUGACUGUGAUUCGUACAGAAUUCUGUUUUGUAGUUUGAUUCUUCACAAGACUAAACUUUGUGCUCCUUCACCUGCUCCAUUCAAGGCUUAUUACGAAGAUUUGUAUUGUUGAUUGUAAAGAAAUUAUCGUUUAUGAGAAAAACCAUGAACCCUGAAACCCUGAACUAAUUAAAGACAUCUAAUUUCAGAAGAUUUUCCAGGCAUUGUAACCAUGUAUUCACUACAAAUCCAACAUAUAAGUAACCAAAGCUAAUUAAAAAGAAAUUAUGAUUUGUUUAAAAGUUUUCCAUGAGUCCAGGACAACAGAGAAGCCAAUUAAUUACAUAAUGAUUCCCUAACUAUUCUUUUUGCACUUGCUUAAGUUCAGGGCCAGCAGAAAAGGCCUAAUCAUUGUUUGGGAAUCCUCUAAGUAGAUAGACAAUACCUCUUCAAUUUAAACCCCUGAAAAUUUAAACAAUAUCAACAUGUACGUUCUCAAAACCCAAUUCAAACAAGUCACCUUUUUUUUCAAAGAAAUAGCUGACACUUGUUCAAUAUUUCUUCUCUUUCGAAGACAUUUACAUAAACAACGGUUACAAUACCAAAUUUCUUGCCAAAGCACAUGCAUAAAUCAACAACAUCAAUAAAAGUAAAAAUGGCGAUAUCUUUUUGUCUCCCUGGAACAUCAUGGUUAGGUCUCCCAAGCUGUCGCUUUUCAUUCAAUCGGCGUUCGGAAGAAGCUGAUUUUCUUUUUGAUAUAAAAGGCUGAAAAUGAAUAUACCCUUACUUGAAAAUCUGCAGGGAACAAAUAUCUAGUGAAAAAGGGCAGGUAAGGACAGGAUGAAAUGAUAGAUUUCUCAGAGCAUUGUCAAAAGAAAUCUCAUCAACAGGUUUGCCAUUUUGUUCCCUAGUGCUUGCCAAUUUAUAUCCAUUGGAACUUUCCAACACUUCAAAGUAGUGACCAGAAGAUGGUACGUCGGUACCGCUGUAUCAAUUUAAUCAUUUCUUCUAUUCCAUGAUAAACUGAAAGACUUUUUACCUUAUUAUAUCGGAGAGCAAAGAGGCUGCAUAUGUAUAUAUAUGCUGGACAAAUCUCAGUUCAUUAUAUUUUGGGAAUUGAGUUUGAACGGAGCAUCCUCAUCUCUACAUAAUAGAAAAGGACAUACAUAUCCAUGAAGUUUUUCUAGGUCAUAGAAAGUCAGUAAAACCACUCAAGAAAACCUUAAAAUUAUUACCAAGAGGCGAGAGCAAAGACGUAAAAAUCAUAAUAGCGGAGAUUUUAAAGUCUAGGAAGACAUUGAUUUCGAAAAAAAAUAUACCCGCAUCUAAAACUGAAAUUUGGGGACGUUGUGAAAACUGCAAAAAAAAAAAAAAAAAAA